rnacentral:rRNA from 1 species
GACGAACGCUGGCGGCGUGCUUAACACAUGCAAGUCGAACGGAAAGGCCCUGCUUUUGUGGGGUGCUCGAGUGGCGAACGGGUGAGUAACACGUGAGUAACCUGCCCUUGACUUUGGGAUAACUUCAGGAAACUGGGGCUAAUACCGGAUAGGAGCUCCUGCUGCAUGGUGGGGGUUGGAAAGUGUCGGCGGUUGGGGAUGGACUCGCGGCUUAUCAGCUUGUUGGUGGGGUAGUGGCUUACCAAGGCUUUGACGGGUAGCCGGCCUGAGAGGGUGACCGGCCACAUUGGGACUGAGAUACGGCCCAGACUCCUACGGGCGGCAGCAGUGGGGAAUAUUGCACAAUGGGCGGAAGCCUGAUGCAGCAACGCCGCGUGCGGGAUGACGGCCUUCGGGUUGUAAACCGCUUUCGACUGUGACGAAGCGUGAGUGACGGUAAUGGGUAAAGAAGCACCGGCUAACUACGUG